AUUGAACGCUGGCGGCAGGCCUAACACAUGCAAGUCGAACGAGUGGCGGACGGGUGAGUAAUGUCUGGGAAACUGCCUGAUGGAGGGGGAUAACUACUGGAAACGGUAGCUAAUACCGCAUACCAUCGGAUGUUCCCAGAUGGGUUUAGCUAGUGGGUGGGGUAAAGGCGAACCUAGGCGACGAUCCCUAGCUGUUCUGAAAGGAUGACCAGCCACACUGGAAAUGAGAAACGGUCCAGAUUCCUACGGGAGGGAGCAGUGGGGAAUAUUGCACAAUGGGCGCAAGCCUGAUGCAGCCAUGCCGCGUGUAUGAAGAAGGCCUUCGGGUUGUAAAGUACUUUCAGCGGGGAGGCGUUACCCGCAGAAGAAGCACCGGCUAACUCCGUGCCAGCCGCCGCGGUAAUAC
rnacentral:rRNA from 1 species